rnacentral:rRNA from 1 species
AUUGAACGCUGGCGGCAGGCCUAACACAUGCAAGUCGAGCGAGCGGCGGACGGGUGAGUAAUGUCUGGGAAUCUGCCUGAUGGAGGGGGAUAACUACUGGAAACGGUAGCUAAUACCGCAUACCAUCGGAUGUGCCCAUAUGGGAUUAGCUAGUAGGUGGGGUAAUGGCUCACCUAGGCGACGAUCCCUAGCUGGUCUGAGAGGAUGACCAGCCACACGGGGACUGAGACACGGUCCAGACUCCUACGGGAGGCAGCAGUGGGGAAUAUUGCACAAUGGGCGCAAGCCUGAUGCAGCCAGGCCGCGUGUAUGAAGAAGGCCUUAGGGUUGUAAAGUACUUUCAGCGGGGAGGCGUUACCGACAGAAGAAGCACCGGCUAACUCCGUGCCAGCAGCCGCGGUAAUUC